rnacentral:tRNA from 1 species
GCCUCCGUAGCUCAGCGGCUAGAGCAUCUGACUUGUAAUCAGAAGGUCCGGGGUUCAAAUCCCCGCGGAGGCU